rnacentral:lncRNA from 1 species
GCUUGCUGUAGGUAAUUGCUGCAUGUGUAUAGUCACUUAGUGAGAUUAAAGGCAAGAAACAACAAAAGAAAAGGCACAGCUGUUUCAGAGAAUGGGCCUUUGAAAAUGUCAAACCUGCAGAAUACUUAAAUCUCAGAACCUUCCCAGUCAUCUCUUUGAGAGCUUGAAGCCAAUCUGGAACCAGAUUCAGCAUCAGGCUUGGACUGGUGCAGGGAGAAUGAAGUGAGGAGCAUCCCCAGCUCAUGCUUGCCAAUUUGAGGUCAAGGGGAGAUGACUGAAAUCAAGAUGAUGAGAACCACUGAAGAAUUCUCCUGCACUUGAUGGGAGCGAUAAACAUGCUGGCAAGAUGCUAAUAAAUGCAGUAGUAUCAAGCAGCUUUCUUCUACUUCAGCAUGAAAGGAAGCCAGAAAGAUGCAUCGCCUACUUUGGCAUCUCAGAGAAGAGCAUGAAGGGCCUGAAUGAAUCCAAAUCCCAGCACCCACAUAGAGCCCUUCAGCACACAAGUGGCUUCACAAGCAAACCAAACCUGAGGAGAAUUUCUGGGCCAUCAUUCCCAGGCUUGCCCCAGAGGAUGACAAUGCUCAGGUUGCCUAGCAUGGGUCCACAAGGAACCAGACAGCCUAUGGGGUUUAGGACUAAGUGCAAUGGACAUCCAACAUGAGAUCUGGAGCACAAAAUCUCUGCACCCCAUCAUGGAUAAUGUACAGCCUAUUCUUCAGCAUCCUCUGCUCAUGUUCUCUGAGACUUGACUUGAACACAAAUAGCAGCAAAUUGGUGUCUGCCAUGAUACAUGAACAAACCACGUUAGUAAUUUGUACGUGCUGGCACAGUGCAAAAAAAGGAGCAGUAUUUGUCCUGUUUUUAUUUUACUUCAGGUUGAGGAAUGGGUGAAGGUUUGUGGUUGUCAUUUCUGUAUCUGUCCAUUUGACAGAGGACCAUGUAUUUAAAGAAAUUACUUUUUUUGUACACCAACAGUGGACUGUUGGUGUAGAGUUUUGAGGGGAAAAAAAUCUGCAGAUGAAAUAAGCAGCCAUUUAAUUUAUCCUUCACAGUUGUUUCAUGUAAAUGAAGAAGUGGAAGUCUUUGUGAGCCAUCAAAGCUGUGAAAUAAAUGCACGAUUAGCUGCA